GAUGAAUGCUGGCGGCGUGCCUAACACAUGCAAGUCGAGCGGCAGCGCGAGUAGUUUACUACUUGGCGGCGAGCGGCGGACGGCUGAGUAACGCGUGGGAACGUGCCCCAAAGUGAGGGAUAAAGCACCGAAAGGUGUGCUAAUACCGCAUAUGAUCUUCGGAUUAAAGAAUUUAUUCGCUUUGGGAGCGGCCCGAGUCGGAUUAGGUAGUUGGUAGGGUAAUGGCCUACCAAGCCGACGAUCCGUAGCUGGUCUGAGAGGAUGACCAGCCAGACUGGAACUGAGACACGGUCCAGACUCCUACGGGAGGCAGCAGUGAGGAAUCUUCCACAAUGGGCGAAAGCCUGAUGGAGCAACGCCGCGUGCAGGAUGAAGGCCUUCGGGUUGUAAACUGCUUUUAUAAGUGAAGAAUAUGACGGUAACUUAUGAAUAAGCACCGGCUAACUACGUGCCAGCAGCCGCCGUAA
rnacentral:rRNA from 1 species